rnacentral:rRNA from 1 species
UACGGAGGAUCCAAGCGUUAUCCGGAUUUAUUGGGUUUAAAGGGUGCGUAGGCGGCUUAUUAAGUCAGGGGGUGAAAGACGGUGGCUCAACCAUCGCAGUGCCCUUGAUACUGAUGAGCUUGAAUACACUUGAGGUAGGCGGAAUGUGACAAGUAGCGGUGAAAUGCAUAGAUAUGUCACAGAACACCAAUUGCGAAGGCAGCUUACUAAGGUGCAAUUGACGCUGAGGCACGAAAGCGUGGGGAUCAAACAGG